rnacentral:lncRNA from 10 species
CACUCUUAGGAUACAAUAUCCAUUUUCUCUUUUUCCCAACUUAGAAGUCCCCAAUUUGUAUUUAACUACAAAGCUACAUUUUCAAUCUUUUUUGAAUUAGGAGGUGCCAUGUGACAGAGUCUAGCUAAUAAGUUGGAAAUAAAGGUCACGGGGUGGGGGAGGUUCUAGAAAACAGCACAGAUGCACCUGGCACUACUCUUCAAAGUGUGGUCAGCAGACCUUAGAAAUACAAAACUGCAGAUUUAUUGAAUCAGAAUCUGCAUUUUAACGAGAUUCUCAGGUGAUUCAGGUGCAUGUGAGAGUUUUGCCCUUCCCCUUCCUUCUUCUUGGUACAUAGACAUGUGGAGAUGGACGAGCUUUUUGUGACCCUGAAGCAUCAAACCACACGCUGAGGAUAGCUGUACAGAAGGAGUCCAAAGAAGCUCCCAACUGCCUACGUCCAGACCUCACUUACACAGGUCAUAUAUACUGCUUCUUUAGUGAACUGAGAUGUAAGCAGCAUGGUAGAUUUGAAACAUCACGGGAUCCACAUUCAGCCCUAUUUGGACUAUGAGAUCCCACAUUCCUGAACAGAGGUGACUGCAUUAGGAGUAAGCACUUGAUACAGACUGAGAUCCAGGCUCCACUCCUCCCCUACGCUUUGUGGGAGUUGGCCUUUGUGGAGUGCUUUCCUAUAUUCCUUUGCCCUCAUGCUUCUGGUUAGGAUUGGCCACUGGAGAUCUCUGUCAAGAUUUCAAUGAGCUGGAGAAGAAUGAAGGAGGCCUGAAUAACUCUGGCUCCCUCCUUGUGGCUCCUCUGGGGUUGGUUCUGGUCCUGAACCAAAGACUGGAGCACAUGUUGGUGGUCUGCUCUUAUAGCUAGGUUCUGGAAGCUACCCUCUUUCCUCGGCGCUUCAGGCUCCAGGUUGAUAACUGCUCCUGUAUUGCUAGCCUGGGGUACUGUACCAUCUCUUCUUAGUUUACCAUUAUCUCAUCUAGGUCCACCCCUAAGGUUGGUAGGCCCAAAGCAAGAGUAUAAAUGGAGGCUCCUAAGCCCUUGGCUUACCCACCUGCUCAUUCCACUCCAGCUCCAUCCUGCACCAUGGGGGCUCACAGUCUGCACAUUCUUUACAGACAGCAUCCCUUGUCCAUCCUCUGCCCUGGAGUCAGGGUGCAGGGGAGUCACACACUUGUGGUGCCCUCCACCCUCAGGAACCAGGGAAUGAACCCUGGAGGUGGACAGGAAAGUUGAAGGCAUGGGUGUUUGAAGCAUGGUCUUUAUCCCAUUGACCCUAUGACUUCUCGCUCUCAGUGAGGAAGGUAGCUAGAGUGGGACCCAGGUAAUAGGCAUGGUUUAAGGGUGGUUCUGAUUUUCCCACACUUAAAAAAAAAAAAGUAAUCCCUUGAUUGCACUCUCCUUGGUUAAUCCAUGUGAGAGCAAUCUGUUUCCCAUUGGAAACUUGAGUGAGACAAUUGUGCUCUGGCACACUUGACCCCAAGAAUCCUGACUGACAUAUGAGGAUUUUCCAGAACUCUUCAGAUUUGUGAUCUCCUUUGAUUCCCUCAACACCUAAGGCUGGUGGCAGAAGGCUGGACCAGGUCUCCUGCAUCCCUACUAGGUGCACAGCCUCAAAGAGGGGCCCAUGCAGUGCAACCACAGGCUUUGCUGUAGAAACACGUGUCAGGCCUUGGCCAGAGUCAAGGAUACUCUCAGGGCUGGAAGGAGCUUUUUCAUGAUGGAGCCGAAUACUGAGAAUGGGAUCCAGAGAAAAUAAAUGAACAAGGAAAAGCUGUUAUGCAUUAAUGUAAUCAAACUGCAUGAUUUAUUUGCUUAAUGGCUGCUGAAAAGUCGUCUGGCAUUUAACCAUUCCCUUCUCAAAUCCUGUGUGAAUCCUUUAAAAUUCAACCUAUGAGAUAAUCUAACAGAGAAUCCUUUUGAUUUCCACUUUGUAUUUUUCAUGUAAAAAUAAGUUGAGGAGUAGGUGUAGCACCAGUCACAAAAGACCACAUAUCGUAUGAUUCCAUUUACAUGAAAAGUCCAGAAUCAGCAAAUCCAGAGGGACAGAAAGUAGAUUCAUGCUUGCCAGGGGCUGGGGGUGGGAGAAUGAGAAAUGACAUUUAAUAGAUAUGGGUUUCUUUGGGGAGUGAUCAAAUUUUCUAAGAUUAGAUUAUGGUGAUGGUUGUACAACUCUGUAAAUGCUAAGUGCAGUAAAUGCUAAAAACAACUGAACUGUGCACUUUCAGCAAGUAAAUUUUAUGCUAUGUAAAUGAUACCUCAACAAAACUCUUCUAAAAAACACAAAGCAUAGGACUGUUCUAAAAAACCAUUACUGUUCUCUAUUUUGUAACUCUACCUUCUCAUGUUAAGAGAAAACACAGAUAACUCUUAUUUAAUAUCAACAAUGUGCCAGUCGUGACACUAACAUCUUUACAUGCAUUAUAUUACAGUCAGCCCUCUGUAUCUAAGGGUUCCACGUUGAUGGAUUCAAUCCAUUGCAGAUGGAAAUUAUUUGAAAAAUAAAUAACAAUACAACAAUAAAAGUAAU